rfam:Ovis aries breed Texel chromosome 11, whole genome shotgun sequence.
UCCAGACUGUAAAAAACCUGCCUGCAAUGCAGGAGACCCAGGUUCAAUCCCUGGGUCAGGAA